UUCUAAUAGCGCCGCCGCCACCCACUCGACUCCCUCACCUCUCGAUCUCCUCCAGCACUUACCACUCCCGAGUCUCUCCCUCGCCUUCCCCUCGUUUCUCCCUCUCUCAUGGUGUGGACUAGCAGCGGCGCCGGGGAAGCGGGAUGAGGGGGUGGUGACCAACAAGUGCGUCCCAAGGAGCCCUGCGUGGGAAAGUGCCUUCUCAAGACCUCAACACCAACCUCACCGGCGACAACGCGCCCUGCAAGGCCUGACACAUGGUCUUCACACCAGAGGUCCACGUCAUGGCAGGUAUGUUCGCUCAUGGACUUAGCUGAAUCUCGGUAACUAAAUUCAUGGGGAUUGAUCUGCUUGCCGGGGAGGUGCUGUACCGCAAGGGGCAGCCGAUCUGUGUGAUGACGGAUGGAGAAUGGGAAGCCGGACAAGCUGCGGGCCUGCGGCUCUACUCCAUCCCCACCAGGACUUUGGGAUGCGAACGCGAAGACAGCACACCAGAUCCUCUCUUGUUAUCUGUGAAUUGGCAGACAUAUCAGUGAGACAGUGACAUCUCUGAACCCUACGCCUUGGGCACGCCCCUCUCACAGUGCCACUGCCUCAAGGUGAUGACUGAUGAUGCAUGGAACACGUACCCAGCGGCUAUGACUUCGGUUUGGGCAUUCGUCUAUUGGACCACCACAACUGACGACCAUGAUCCAGUGUGGCUGCGGUGCUCUCCAUCUCUGCUCCACCAUGUAUCAGGUUUGGUCAUCCUCUAGGAAAAACAACAAGAAAAGACUCCAAUAGAUGCCUUCUCAGUUCUCAUCGAUCUGGUAGCCGCAAGUUCAAUUCUGCAGCCUUGACCAUUUCGGCUACUCAUUUAAUUGUUUCAUGUUACACUGGUGCAAGCCGAAGAAUCGUCCUCUGCAUCCUAUUACAGCUGGCAUCUUCUCUUUAUUGCUUUGAUCGGUGAAGAUCUAGAACAAGAAGAACGUAGACGAUGAUGCAUUACUGGCUGCCUCCACCCACUGUACAACAUUGGACGACCUGCUUUCAGCAGUGCUCUCCGCCUUUCCUUGCUGAUUCGCCUACCAACUAGACUAGACACUUCAAUUGACAUCAUGUUUUAUUGUACAGAACUUAUAGUCUCUAUACAUAUAAAAACAUUAGGUCUUUACUUUUUUGGACA